AAAAACGAGCUCAGACUGUGACGUCAGUGAUCUUCAGAGCGGAGAACUUGGAGCUCUAGGAUGAUGCCGUAAUUACUAGAUGGGAUACAGUUAGGGUCAAUUUGACUUAAAACGUUUUGUUGUUGCAUUUAGCCAACCCUAACCCUUUUCCUAACCUUAACCUAAUGAUCAUAACCUGCUACGUUAAUUAUCCUAACCUGCUGCUUAGGUUCUCCCAAACCUGCUAUGAAAAUACCAUUUUGAGAAAGGCUGUGUCCCUUAUAGACAAAACCGGUUGACGCUUGAGUUUCCGACUUCAAAUUCCAAGUUGGAUGGCCGUUCAAAACUAUUUUCCCAGUUGGAGUUCAUUUUGUUCCUAGUUUCCAGUUGUUUUGAACGCACUUACGUCGGAGAUUUCCGAGUUCCGGGAUGUUUUGAACAAACCAAGUAGCCUAGCCUAUUCCGAUCUGACGUUUGAGUUGCGAGUGCGACACCGCUCUGAGUUGAACUGGCAGGCCAAACUUCAUGAACAGGUAAAGUGAGAGGGAGAAAGAAGAGCUGGUCAUGGAGAUAGAGCAACUGAAAGAGCAACAUGAGACUCUGAGAAGUGUUCUGAAGGAGCAACAGCAAGAGAUUGAUCGCCUCAAGUCUCUGACCACUAUUCCUGAGAAAUAUGAACGAGCAUUGAUCAAGAUCCAACAGCUGAAAAAGGAGCAAGAGGAUUUGAAAGGAAAGGUUGA